CUGGUUGAUCCUGCCAGUAGUCAUAUGCUUGUCUCAAAGAUAAAGCCAUGCAUGUUUCGGUAUAAAUUCUUGUACGGUGAAACUGCGAAUGGCUCAUUACAUCAGUUACAAUCUACACCCUGAUUAUUAUACGGAUACCUAGGGUAAUUCUCUUGCUAACACGUGCCUGAAAUCCUCUGGACGUCAUUGCUAGCUUGAGAUCAACUCACAAGUUCACUUGUGACCCUGGCGUUUCAUAGCAAUUUGAACUUAUCGCUCUUCGCGAAUCAGGGUUCGAGUUUCUGACCUAUCAUGUUUGACGGUUGUGUAUUGGACCACCGUGCAGUUGACGGGUAACAGAGAAUUAGGGUUCGAUUCUGGAGAGGGUGCCUGAGAAACGGCAACCACAUUUAAGGAAGGCAGCAGGCACGCAAAUUACCCAAUCUUGACACAGAGAGGUAGUGACAAGAAAUAACAAUGUGGAGCAAUCUUUGUUUUGCAUUUGGGAUGAGUCGUGCUUAAAUUUCACGACGAUUAUCGAUUGGAGGGCAAGUCUGG
rnacentral:rRNA from 1 species